rnacentral:lncRNA from 1 species
GGGCUUGCUUCUAGAGAGGACUAGGGGCCAUUUGAACAGGGGGAGAAAAGUGGGAGAGAGUACCUGCAUGCACCUCCCUGCCUACUGCUGAGGCUGAGCCCUGGGCCUCAGCCUUCCCUGCCUCCUCCCUGCCCACAAUGUCUCCAUCCUAGCACUAAAUAGUGUGGUUUUCUCAGUGAAGUCUGAACAAAAUAAGAUCUGGUGAGGAAGGGAGCAUUUCCCUGUGUCAGAAGCAGGGAAAUAAUUGCCUUAUCUUUAGAGUCACAGCCCCCAAAUUAACCUCACCUCUGCAGGUUGCUUGUCUGGAGAUGGAGCCACUACAGGCGGGCCUGGGCGCCUGGAGUCGGGCAUGAAAGAAAAUAGCGCCUCAUCGCUCUUAUCUAAGCCCAGAGGUAUUUAUGAGCGUUUAUUCGUCUGAUCCGUUUGUUUGGGAAAAAGAGCAGGCGGGCAGGGCAGGCCAGAGACCGACUCCUUUCUGGAGCCAGAUCCCUACGAAUCUGUCUGUGGUUCGGUCCACCGCCCUCUGUCUGUCUCCUUGGGGGAAUAUGUAAAUACACAGCGGGCUCAGCCAUCCGCCAGUCUGGGGUGUCUCUCCCUGCCUCAAUGAGGAAGUGUGUGUUCAGAGAGAUGGAUAGAAGUGUGUACCAAUUCUUGAGUACAUAACAGAGGGAUUGUACAGAUACCCCACAGGCAGGAUUUAUAAUUGUAAUUUUCUAUGCUGUGAGUCUGCAGUCCUGUGGGCAAGCUAACACAUUCCAGCUCCCAGGAAAAUGUUUCCUAAGUUGUGUUCAGUUCGGGAGUAAAAUUCUUGAUAGGUAACCUCAGGAGGGAUAUUUGCGUGUGUGUGUGUGUGUGUGUGUGUGUGUGGUGUGGUGUGGUGUGUGUGGGAGGGUGCUGAGACAUUGUCCAGGCUUCCAAUUUCCUCUAAGCUAUAAAGCCCUCUCCCUCAGCUCUUUGAGGUGAUGAGCACCUUCUCCCACCACCCCCAACUUUGGCUGGGGUGGGGUGGGAUGAAAAUAUUUCAACUCAAUUCUCGUCCUGGACUCUGUUUCUCUGGGUUUGGGGAACAUAAAUAAAUGUUCCCAGGGGUACUGAGUGAUCACUCCCAUAGGUUGAGGGAGGCUGUUUAGAUGAGACACUUUGCCCUAAAAUCGGCCCCUCCAAAUCAAAGUACAAAGACUUCAUUUUCAUUAUGCAAAGGAGCGGCAUCCUCUUUGAUCUUUAGGGGAGUGAGCAGUAGUGCUGAACCCACUCUCCCGGUUUCCUACCCGCAGGUCCAGGGGACAACCUGAGGGCCCUGAAGUGUUUCAAUACCAUGUACCAGCUUGACUUCUCUACAUGUCCUUUGGAUUGCCCAAAAGCAAAAUCUCAGAGGGGCCAAGGACCUUCUAGGGCUGGCUCCCUCAGGGCCUCCUAUAGAGCAGCUCCUUGAGUCGGGCCUUAUAGCCACCAGAAAGUCACCUCGCCGCAGGAAAGCUAUAAAGAGCUGCUCCAGAGGCGCCGAAAGAGGGUGAGGGCUGCAGCCACAGUGUUUGUCCCCAGCACCACCAGGCCCCUUAACCUCGUCAGCUCCUCUAGCCCUCGGCCAGACUCUGGCAACACCUUGGUUUGCCUGGCACCGCAGGCAAUUUCCUGGAACCCCACCCCCACCCAGGAACGGGGACCACAGCACCUUUAAAGGAACUGCCAGAGCUUCCUCCUACGGCUUGAAAGCCCAAGCUAAUCAGUAACCCGUGAGACAGGGGCCAAUAUUCAAACGCUGCAGCAGAGGCGCAUAGCCUAGCCCUGGCCACCCCCUCUUGGGAAGGAGGUCGAGUUAAGCCGGUGUGGAGGGUCCAACAGGAACGGAAAUUACGACGGUGUGGUUCCUUAAGGAUUUGGCCCCAGUCCCACUACCAAAUUUUUCCCAAAUCAUAUUUAGGUAGACUUCGCUUGAAAAGAUCGAGAAUGGAGGAGGGGAUCGGCACUCACUUGCAGACAUCAACAGUUUCCAGAAAAUUCGGUUCAAUUCCUUCACCACGGACCCACCAACCAAGGAGCUGGCAAAACCCACUAACCAACCAGGAGAACACAGACCCGCCGUUUCCUCUCCCUCGCCGGCCUCGGCGGAGAUUCCAGGCCCUAUAGAAACCAGGACGUCCCUUAGCGCCACCGCCUCACAUGCCAGUGCUGCCGGGAACCCAGCGAUAUCCGCACCAGCGGAGAAGGUUCCAGGCUGCCGGCGGCGGCGCAGAGAGCGGGAAGAGAGGCUCGGAGGAAGCCCCGGGCGUGGCGUGGUCAGGCUCCGAGAGCGGCCGGGAUGCGGCCACACCGGCCUGGUAAACUCGCACCUCUUAGGAUCUUGCUCCCGGACUCAUUCCCUUCCCCACCCCCUAUUUUAAAGUUUUAUUUGGGUCGUCUGUAUCAAUUUAGAACGAGAUAAAUUAAGACAAAGAAAGUAAAAUAAAUCGAAAUAAAAUAUAGGAAUAGCUCUUGGCGAAAAUGUUUGCCGUGCGAGCAGGAAGCCGUGAGCGCCCUAGUUGGAGGCUGCUCUGCGCCGACUAAGAGGCCUCUACUCCCAGGCCUGGCCUCUACGCAACGCCACCCAAGAAGCCAGAGUGAAUUUGGGUGUUCAUUUUCCCUUUCCUUCCGCUCUUCCUUCAUGUGGGGCCUAGCAGCUUGGAUUUCAGCUCCGUCUUUGUGCCUGGGCUGCAGCCCAGAUCCAGAUCCCGCAGCUUGGUUUCCAGGCCUGAAUGAGGACGCGGGUUUGUGAAACUGUGAGGUUUUUGUUUUGUUGUUUUGUGAGCUUGUGUGACUAAGCAUGUGGGCUUCUGAGUGCGUUUACUUGGGGGCAAAUGUGAAUCUGUGUUUAUAAGCCAAUGUGUGAAUGUACGUUGGUAUCAAUGUGUCUGUGAGUGUGAAUGUGUGUUUACUUGUGAGCGUGUGUGAACAUGAAUGCCUA